rnacentral:rRNA from 1 species
GGGUUGUGAGGUUAAGCGACUAAGCGUACACGGUGGAUGCCCUGGCAGUCAGAGGCGAUGAAGGGCGUGCUAAUCUGCGAUAAGCGCCGGUAAGGUGAUAUGAACCGUUAUAACCGGCGAUACCCGAAUGGGGAAACCCAGUGUGACUCGUCACACUAUCAUUAACUGAAUCCAUAGGUUAAUGAGGCGAACCGGGGGAACUGAAACAUCUAAGUACCCCGAGGAAAAGAAAUCAACCGAGAUUCCCCCAGUAGCGGCGAGCGAACGGGGAGGAGCCCAGAGCCUGAAUCAGCAUAUGUGUUAGUGGAAGCGUCUGGAAAGGCGCGCGAUACAGGGUGACAGCCCCGUACACAAAAGCGCAUGUGCUGUGAGCUCGAUGAGUAGGGCGGGACACGUGGUAUCCUGUCUGAAUAUGGGGGGACCAUCCUCCAAGGCUAAAUACUCCUGACUGACCGAUAGUGAACCAGUACCGUGAGGGAAAGGCGAAAAGAACCCCGGCGAGGGGAGUGAAAAAGAACCUGAAACCGUGUACGUACAAGCAGUGGGAGCCCCACCACUAAGCCAGUGGUGAACUCCACAUACGCAUCCUUUGCUGAGGAUACGGUUAACGGAGCGAAAGCGACGUUCAACCUCAAAAGAAGCAGAGGGGGC